rnacentral:rRNA from 1 species
UGGAGGCAGCAGUGAGGAAUAUUGGACAAUGGGCGCAAGCCUGAUCCAGCCAUGCCGCGUGUGUGAAGAAGGCCUUCGGGUUGUAAAGCACUUUCAGUAGGGAGGAAGAGUAGAGUGUUAAUAGUACUCAGCUUUGACGUUACCUACAGAAGAAGCACCGGCUAACUCUGUGCCAGCAGCCGCGGUAAUACAGAGGGUGCAAGCGUUAAUCGGAAUUACUGGGCGUAAAGCGCACGUAGGCGGUUUUUUAAGUCAGAUGUGAAAGCCCCGGGCUCAACCUGGGAAUUGCAUUUGAAACUGGAAAACUAGAGUGUGUGAGAGGGGGGUAGAAUUCCAAGUGUAGCGGUGAAAUGCGUAGAGAUUUGGAGGAAUACCAGUGGCGAAGGCGGCCCCCUGGCACAACACUGACGCUCAGGUGCGAAAGCGUGGGGAGCAAACAGGAUUAGAUCCCUUGUAGUCCC